UCCCUGGUACUCAGGUGAUUAAGACUCUGCACUUCCAAUGCAGGGGGCACAGGUUCAACCCCUGGUCAAGGAA
rnacentral:tRNA from 1 species